UAAGAGAUACAUCUAUGGUAAAACGUCAAUUUGCAAACACUAACCAUAGAAAAUUUUGGAAACGUUAAAUUUCAGCAAAGAUAUCUUCUAUUGUAUAAAGAAUAUAUCUCGAAGAUUGUUUUUUAAAUAGAAACUAAUAUAUUCUAUAAUAAAUGAAAGUUAUAGAAAGAUUCCACAAUUUACCCUAAAAUGGAAUUAUAUAGAAUAUGAACAAGAUAAAUUAUAAAGUAUAUAUUGAUAUUACACAACUUUUAAAAGUUUCAUUGUCAAGAAUCAUUAUAAUUCGUUUAAAAUGAUUUUUAUCGGAUAUGGAUAUUGGUAUUGAUAUUGAAGGGAGGCGCUCGUGGGCGUCCAAGCAUUUAGGAAACCAGACCGCUCUAGAGAACGUCCAAAAUGCCACCCUUUCUAUAGAAGGAUUCAAAAAAUUUGCAGAAAGAGAAUUGAUACAAGAACUAGAUGUUUCACUACCCCCUAAAAAAAAAAGCUGACGUCCCAGGUAACAAAUUAGACCAUUGAAGGACCGCUUAGAAGAGGGUAGUUUAACAGCAAAAAUUAUCAUCAAUGAGUUAUCAAUAAAACGACUUCUGAUAACUUCUAGAGAAAUUAUCAUAAGAAAUUUAAAUAAAAACCAUCAUUGCCAAUUUGGAAAAAAAAUUAUCCAAGUAAAAUAUUAUUCGGAUAAAUGGAUAUAAACACAGGUGGACAAUAAAUCACUACCGACAACUUAGUUAUGAAGAAUAUCAUUCAUCAAUUAUGAAAAAAAAAAGGAGACAAUUUUAUUAAAUAAACGAUCAUUGAAGCUUUGUAAGUAUUCGUCGAGUCAUCCAAGAAAAUACUUCAUUUAGACAUAAAUUUCAAUUUAACAAGUAAGUUUUUUAUAUUCGUUUUAUGUAACAUAAUAAGUUUUUCGAGUUUAACACAAGAAAUGUAAAACAUAAGUCUACACAAUCUGUCAAACAAAUUCGGUAUUGUUUACAGAUUCUUUUUUAUUUCUUUUAAGAAAAUAAAGUGACGACAAGAAAUGAAAUAAAAGAAAACUAUAAAGAAUAAAAUAUCGUUUAUUUAAAAAAAAAUAAUUCAAGUGAAUAUCACAUGUGAUAUUAAAAAUAUUUAUUACUACAUAAAUUACUUCCCUUCCUAAAGUAUUAUAAUUAAGGAAAAAGUAAAAGAAACAAUAAUAAUGCGGAUAAGUACAGAUUAUUUUUAAAUAUAAUUUUUCGAUAUAUUUUUGCAUAAUGAUGUUUAGACAUCUUAACGAAAUUACCAAAAAACUACAAUAAUUUUCUAAUAUUUCAUCGCAUGUAAUUGCCUAAUAAUAUCAUACAUAAUAUCACAUAAUUGCCUAAUUCGUGAAAUUACCAAUAUGACAUAUUUUAAUUCUAACGUGAAAUUUGUGACGUCAUUGACAGUUGCGACGUUAUCCAAUACGGUUCUGCAGUGCCCAUCCGAAUUUGAAUCUAUGGUAGAUACAACCACAUUCGAACACGAAGAAGAGACGUAGAAGACACCGAGAUGAUUCUGUGGUGGAGCAUUGCACGCGGCGGUUUAACCUCCGUUCGCUCCUUGUUCACUUGACGAAAAGCGAAAAUUAAAUUUUGAGCGUCCUCAAUAGUUCGCGUAAAAUUCAUUGCGAAAGCCUACCUGUUUCUUGUUGGCCGAUGUACCAGGCUACCUGGCCUUGCAUUGCUUCCAGUUUUUCUUUUAUAUCAUCACCAUUUAUAAAACAGGUGAAUACGCGUUUUUUGGUUGUCAUUUUAGUAGUAAUGCCGGGUGUCGUAUCUCACAAGAUGCACUGUAGGAUGGGUACACUUUGGACACACGUCAAGGAUUUUUACUAUGCUUAUCCAAUACGGUUGUAGCUUAUAUUUGUAUUUGCGCGCGUAAUUACACUUUGAACACACGAUUUUUUUGGAGUAGACGAAAUAAUUUCUCGGCGGUGUGACGUUCAUUAUUAAACUGAAAUGUUAUUGUGUGUUCCGGAUGUUUUAUUAAUAGCAUUAUCAACGGAUAUUCUUAUCUAUUUCCUGUCCCCCACGCCUUCGGCACGUACGCCUCCCUGCCGGUGACGUUUGCGUCACUUGGUUGGCACCACUGACAACGGUUUGGUUGGC